AUCCUACAUGGUAGCCUAGUGGACAUGGCACCUGCCCGGUAAGCAGAAGGUUGUGGGUUCGAUUCCCGCCCCUGGACA